UACGUAGGGUGCGAGCGUUGUCCGGAUUUAUUGGGCGUAAAGAGCUCGUAGGCGGUGUGUCGCGUCGGCCGUGAAAACCUGCAGCUUAACUGUGGGCGUGCGGUCGAUACGGGCAUCACUGGAGUUCGGUAGGGGAGACUGGAAUUCCUGGUGUAGCGGUGAAAUGCGCAGAUAUCAGGAGGAACACCGGUGGCGAAGGCGGGUCUCUGGGCCGAAACUGACGCUGAGGAGCGAAAGCGUGGGGAGCGAACAGG
rnacentral:rRNA from 1 species